GAUCCGUUAUACCUAUGGAUAUCUCUUCCGAGAUACCAGGACCUGUAACUGAGGUCAAAGUUUCUACAGAGAUUAUUUAGAGCCUAUGAUGGGACACUUUUGAAACAGGAAUUGGCCCAAAGGAGCGAUUGGUGCGCUUAAUGGAGGUAAAACCUUGAGAGCCUGGAAGUGGUUGAUUGAGAGUUGAGUAAACCUAUAAGGGGCAAAAAGAGGGACCCCUGAAGAAUACAACUGCUGCCAAGAAGAUGGAGCACCUCACUGCUCUAAGCAAAAGAGCAGGCGAAGGAGGCAGAGGCAUAAAAUGGUGGGGAUGUAGGCCAAGAGGCCCCCUCAGAGGUAAAACCCCAGACUCCCACUCCCAGGACCAAUGCCUCUUAAAGCGUGAAUAUGACACCCAGAUCCAUUGGGCGCUCAAAACUUUGGAGGAAAGGAGGAAUCCAUUUAAACACCAUAAGGAUCCACCAGUUAUCCAAUUCUUAUAUGGUAUUGUAUGCAUUGUGGGGUGGGUGUUGGUACCAAUCCAGGCAGAAAGUAACCCACACCAGCCCUUUAAAUGGUCUCUAAUCAGGUGGGAGGAUCAGCAAGUGAUUCAAAUUAAAGAGACUGCAGGUCCACCCAGUUUUAUACCUACUUUAUGUGAGCUUGUACCAAUUAAACCACACCUGAAUCUUUUAGGAUUUUAUUUUUGCCCGAGUUCUAACCCAGGAAAAGGAUAUUGCAAUUGGCCAGAGCACUAUUAUUGUGCCUACUGGGGUUGUGAGACCAUAGCCUCUGACUGGAUAGGUGGGAAGGGUAAAGAUCCCUUCCUAUCCGUGGGUUGGGGAGCCACAGGGUAUACAUCUCCUCAUCGAGAUUCCAGUGGAGGCACCAUCUCCCUAGGGAAUUGCAAGCAUAUUUACCUCAACAUAACUAAACCUGAAAAUCCAGGCUAGACAAUGGGAAAAACUUGUGGAAUGAGAUACUGGGAACCAGGUACCGACCGAGGGGGUUUGAUAUACAUUAGGAAAGGAGGACUUCAGUCAUCCCCUGUGGCAGUGGGCCCAAAUGUCAUACUGAAAAAAGAUCCAAAGUCUGAGAGAGGGAGUGUCGAUGUUACUGAAGACAGUAGGGACAACUCUGCUGACAGUGGAGACAAAUCCAAUGAAAAACCUGUGAUAGAAGCGCAGGGGCCAGUUUCCUACUACAGACAUCCAGAAACACCAACAAACACAGCAGUUUUAGGUACGGACCCCAGGACUUACACAGCUUUAAAGAUGCUGCGUAAGGAUUACAAAUGGAUGUAUUGCAAAGAUCCCAGGCCUCCCCAUCGGACAAGACGAAGGACGGCUGCCUCACAACAGGACCACGCCUGCGCAAGAGAUAUUGUGAAGCCACGAACACAGGCUAGUGAACUGUAUAAAGACUGUCAGCUGGAAAGGGAAAGCGCGUGCCAUUGGUGGAGCAGAGACUCCCCGGCCGCCCAGCGCUGUUUUGCUUACUUGCUUGCUUUAAUAAAAGACGAUUUCC